UGAAGAAUUAAUUAUUUUGUUGGCACUAUGUAUUUGUCUUAAUUUUGACAACCAACUUGAUUAAAUUAGUAAUGUGAAGAUUGUUUGUAACUUGGUCCUAAAGGAAUAGUAGUAUUCUUUCUUUUUUUUAGAGGAAAUUUUUUUUAAAACAAAAAAAAAAAUCAAAUGGCGUGGGGAUGAAGGGAGGAGGACAAAAAAAAAUUUAUAAGAGGAUAUGGAGGGUUGGAGUUUCACCAAAAAAAAAGAGGGUUGGAGUGUUGUAAAACUACAAAUAUUAGGUUUGUAAUUCCAAGACACUAGAUUAUGGAAUAAGUUUUGAGCAAACACCAAAUUGGGAAUUUGUUUAAUUUCUAACACUAGAUUGAGAAAUGAUUCAGAAAAAUAUAAGAUUGAUUUACUAUUAAAUUAUUUUGGAAUUUUGGAUUCAAUCACAUUCAAUCCAAUCCAAUCCAAUUUGAAAAACCUUUUUCUUUUAUAAAAAACUCCAUCCGAAUAUAUUAUGAACAUAUAUCGAGUUCAAUCUAAAUUACUAAUUCGAUUUGGAUUUGGUUUGGAUUGAAGCCGACUCACCCAAAAAAAUAUAGAUAUAUAAUCUACCCUAUUCGCACUCAUCGUAUUUCUCUCUCCUGUAAUCACCGGUCACUGGCGUCAUUAUCCGACUUUGAGGUGUUGCGCAAAAGUUCAAAUUAGGGUUUAUCAAUAUCAUUAUAUCAGGUUUUUGAGUGCUAGUGACUUGUUCACCUACACCUUGUUCUCAUAUUCCAUUUGAUCUGGUUCGGAUAUUUAGUAUUCAGAGAUUAUGUCUUAGUAUUGCUUGAUGUUGAAUUUGAGGGCCGUUCCUCUUGCCAUUGAGGAUAAACUGUAAGUGAAAUCCCCCUUCGUGCUAGAAAACACUUGGUAAACAUAAAUGUUGUGAAUUUAAUUAUGGAAACUCGAUGAGGCCUUCUACUCCUUGAACUCUUAAGGAGAGCUAUAUCUGCUACAAUCAUUUCACUACUUCUUCAGUACACACAGGCCACAGCUGCAUGCUAUUGGAGCAGGAGUGAAAGCUGGUUUACAUUUUUUCGCUACUGUGAAACUGGGAUUCUUCCAUUCUUUUAAGAUGAUUUAUUGUCGGAUCUUCGAACUACUACUCAUCGUAUUUAGGGCCUAGGGGUGUUAAUGAGUCUAGUUGCUGCGAACUAUUCGAACUCGCCUUGAAAUUUGAAGUUUCCUGACUCUUCUCACAUCCAUCUGUUGCAUUUAAGCUAUGUCUUAUGCUGUGUUCUGUUGCCCAACUGGAACUGUUUUACAUGUCACUCUUUCUUCAUCAUUUCCGUGUCUGAUGUCGUUUUAGUUGUGUACUGCAUAAUUCUGUUUCUGCACAUUAGAGUGAUCAGACUCGAUGUAAUUCAUAAAUAUAGUGAAGUACUACUUUCGAUGUUUGUGUUUUCA